UACGGGGGAGGGAGCAGUGUUCGUGAAUUACUGGGCGUAAAGGGCUCGUAGGCGGCCAACUAAGUCAGACGUGAAAUCCCUCAGCUUAACUGGGGAACUGCGUCUGAUACUGGAUGGCUUGGAUUCGGGAGAGGAAUGCGGAAUUCCAGGUGUAGCGGUGAAAUGCGUAGAUAUCUGGAGGAACACCGGUGGCGAAGGCGGCAUUCUGGACCGACAUUGACGCUGAGGAGCGAAAGCCAGGGGAGCAAACGGG
rnacentral:rRNA from 1 species